rnacentral:rRNA from 1 species
UUCGGGGUCAGCGGCGGACGGGUGAGUAACACGUGGGUAAUCUGCCCAACUGACUGGAAUAACGCCUGGAAACGGGUGCUAAUGCCGGAUAGGCAACUGGUAGGCAUCUACCGGUUGGGAAAGGUGCAACUGCACCGCAGAUGGAGGAGCCCGCGGCGCAUUAGCUAGUUGGUGGGGUAACGGCCCACCAAGGCGACGAUGCGUAGCCGACCUGAGAGGGUGACCGGCCACACUGGGACUGAGACACGGCCCAGACUCCUACGGGAGGCAGCAGUAGGGAAUCUUCGGCAAUGGGCGAAAGCCUGACCGAGCAACGCCGCGUGAGCGAAGAAGGCCUUCGGGUUGUAAAGCUCAGUCACCCGGGAAGAGCGGGCAGGAGAGGGAAUGCUCCUGUCGAGACGGUACCGGGAGAGGAAGCCCCGGCUAACUACGUG